rnacentral:rRNA from 1 species
GACGAACGCUGGCGGCGUGCUUAACGCAUGCAAGUCGAACGGAAAGGCCCUGCUUUUGUGGGGUGCUCGAGUGGCGAACGGGUGAGUAACACGUGAGUAACCUGCCCUUGACUUUGGGAUAACUUCAGGAAACUGGGGCUAAUACCGGAUAGGAGCUCCUGCUGCAUGGUGGGGGUUGGAAAGUUUCGGCGGUUGGGGAUGGACUCGCGGCUUAUCAGCUUGUUGGUGGGGUAGUGGCUUACCAAGGCUUUGACGGGUAGCCGGCCUGAGAGGGUGACCGGCCACAUUGGGACUGAGAUACGGCCCAGACUCCUACGGGAGGCAGCAGUGGGGAAUAUUGCACAGUGGGCGGAAGCCUGAUGCAGCAACGCCGCGUGCGGGAUGACGGCCUUCGGGUUGUAAACCGCUUUCGCCUGUGACGAAGCGUGAGUGACGGUAAUGGGUAAAGAAGCACCGGCUAACUACGUG